UUUAUUAAAAUUUUAGUACAUUUUAAAUCACACAAUUAUCAAAUACUUUUUACAGUGCACAUUAUUUGAUCGAUCAAAAGUAUUGUGCGCGCGACUAUAACUUCGUUUUCUUGUCGAUGCACUUCGUGCGAGAUGAGUAAUCGUGAUAAUGAAUCGCUUCAAUCGAUAAAUCUUAUUCUUCUUAUCUAUCCCAUUAAACGCGUGAAUGAAAAAAAUACAUGGAUUUACAAAAUUAUUAAAUAAUAAAGGGAAUACUAAGCGUCAAACGACGCGCAUACAUGUUUUGUUUGAUCUUAAUCCUCGAUUAUUGCCUCGAUUAUUCGCUCCGGCGACGAAACCGAAGAAUUCGCUUAAAAGAGGCAAUGAACUUGAUUGACCCGAAACCAUCGGCGAAUCCAGAAAUAUAUAGUCGUCUCCAAGAGACACGGCGCAUCGAUCUCACGCGGACACUUUUACAUCGACCGUAUUUUUAGUGAUUGUAUUUUCACAGCGAUUAAUUUAAUUCUUUAUCGUGUCGAUCGACUUCUCAAAGGUUAGAUUCUCAAAGGUGUCUCAAUUGCGAACGCAUCUUUUAUUAAGUUAUUCCGGAAGAUAAAGAUCGCGAUCCCCGUUUAGAACGAGACUCGCAGAAAAGUCGUUCGCCGUCACCGGGAGACUUAAUGUCCGAAGAUACAAGAGAGAGAAAGAGAGAGAGAUCGAACGGUUAUUAUUUUUGCCGUUAUUAAAAACGGUUACGCAGUUAUUUCUGUUUUCAUCGCGACGCGAGCGAGCGCAGAGAAAAAAGCGCCGGGCUUUAGGUCAGAGGUAACGUCGUAAUCGGCCGUAUAAAAUAAUCCGCACGCGCGCGUACAUGUGUGGACGUGUGUAUGUGUGUUUGUAUCGGAGGGAGGGAGGGAGAAUUCUCAGGGUGCAAUCAACCUGCAAAGGUACAUCGCACCGCGUUGCUCGCGCGCGCGUUACGCCAUACGGAAAACCUUGACUUUAUUGCGCCGCGACAAGCCAUCAUCUCCUUUCCCUUUUUACGACGCACUUUGUCGCUCGUUGUGGUCGCGCUACUCUUUGCUCUUUUUUUUUGUAUGGUUUUUUUUUUAUGCAGAUUAUGGACUAUCCGUCUAUCGAGACAGCGGCGAUUACGAGAAUACAAUUAACAACGAAACAUAAUUAGGGUAAGUCGGCGGUACACGCUUCGUACACACGAUUCGAAAAUUUUCUUCUCCGAAUUUCUUUUCUCUGAGAAAUCAAGAACACUGUAAUUGCUUAUUAAUUUAUACAUGCUUUCUUGAAUUGUCAAAGUACACGGGAGAGUCAUUGAAGACUUUUUUUUAUACUUGUAAAAAUAAUGAAAAUUAAAAAGCGUGACCGAACGUGUGUACAUUAAAUCUCAAUUGACACUUGAGAAUAGAAAUUCAUCUAACGUAAUAUUUUAGGAUUAAAAAAAAAUUCAAAGGACCAUCGGAAAUCGAGAAAUUCGUAUGUUUUUUUUUCCUUUCAUAUAUUUUUUCGUGCGUCAUCUCUGCGCUUCUAAACAAAUAAUAAGCGAAACGAUUAGAUAUCGCGCGCCAACCCAGUGUCACGCGACAGAUUCAAAUCGCAGAUUUACGAUCUUUUACGUUAUUACAUAAUCGUUGGUCGCACCGCACGGUUCACGUUUUUGUUCACGUUUGUACACAAAAACAGAAAUAUUUUCUAUCGCACAAACAACGAUAAGAUAAUAUCAGUCAAGGAUUGCGUACAUCGCAGUGUUGCGAAAGUUUUCUUUUUACGAGGGGCGCGAAUAAGCGAUUCCGACGGAUCUAUGAUUCCCAACCCGAUCGAGAUUCUUAUCUCGGAGCAUACGCCGUCCUCAUUUUCGGCUGACGUGUGGAAAUAGGCGUAUCCCCCGAAACAGGAAUUCUGCGGCAAUAUCGUCUGUCCGUUGCUGCAGAUCGACAGCAAGAACGUAGCGUUCCUUCCGCUGCGUAGAAGAACCAGUUUUAUCGCGCGUGAGGUGGAGUCGAGUGAGUCACGGUGCAAAAUGCACGAGCAAUGUCAUUUAAUAUUUCCAUUUUUUCCUUUCUGUUUCUUUUUUUAUUUUUACAAGCCCACUUUAACUUUCUAUCAUGAUUGGCCCGAGUAGGAAAUCGGGUUCUCGGUAAAUAAGACAAAAAAUAAUUCUUCUGAUAUUCUUACACGAGGGAAAAGAUUUUUUUUUUAAGUGUCUGAAAAUUUAGCUAUAGAGGCAGAACUGAAAAUAAUUUGUUUUUGUUUAGACCAUCAAAAUAAUUACGUAAGACGUUCAAGCUGGUUGCUAGAAACUUUUUACAACUGCUCGUCAUGCUUGAAUAUCGUUUAUACUUAUUUUGAUAAUUCAACAAAGUUUAUUUUUAAAUCUUGUAGGUAGCUAAAUUUUUUAAUGCUUCAGCAAGAGUAGUUUCUUUCGAGUAGUCGUUUCUCUCCGCGUAGCUGUUAAUAAAUUCACAACGCAAUUCACGAUGUCUUAGAUUAUUUGUGAAAAUUCCUUCGCGUACAAGAAAAACGCGAUAUUUAUGUGAGCAUCAAUGACGGCAAAAUGAUCAAAGUUUAAUACGGGUCACGAGAUUCUCAGGGCACAUUCUCUGGUUUAUUGUGACGAGAAGCGACGGAGAAGCAGAACUUGUCAGAGCGGAUAUUUAUAAACGAUUAAACGUUAAACCGGGAAUUAUGCCAACGUUGUAAUGGCUAUUUGCAUCCGUUGCAAUGCUAAGCGACAUACGCAAAAAUUUUCUUAAUUCGUACAAAAACUAUUUGAAUGACGCAUCGGAUCAUUUCUUUUUGUCCGGAAUUAUGACGUGUGACGUACGGUUAUAAUAAUAUUCAGUUCCCGCGGCAUAUAAUUUACAUUUGUAGUAGCGUGAUAAGCAAACUAUGAAUAGACGAAACUGAAACUAUCUCGCGCCGAUAAAAGUACAUGACGAUUGUGAAUGUUGCGGACGGUCAGUGCGUCAAUUAUAUUACAUAAACUAUCGCUACGAGCAGUUCUCCCGGAGAUAGAUUCUCUCUUUAAAAAGAAGAUAUUUACGCCUAGGUAUAUUUAUGUAUUUUCUAUAUUCGUAAAGAGUGAAGACACAAACAACACCGACCGGUCAUAUUUACACAUGCAUCAUAUCGAAUUUAUCUUUGUCUCAGUGGCAUGUAAUACGCUGAGGAAAAGAUACUUAAAAUUUUUUUGUCAUGUAAAUUUAUGUUCCCGAAAUUUUUAUUUGAAUACGGAGUAAUAAAAUAUUAUUUUUAGCAAACAAAUGUAUUAGUAAGAAAAGAUAGGAGUAACAUUUUCAUUAAAAUAAUUAUAAACAUUUAAGUAUUACGGACGACACCGCAAAAGUUUUGAUAUUGCUUUCAUGGUUUAACCAUUAUCUUUAGAUCUGUAACCAGCUAAAAUUUGAAAAAUACUUGAGCAAAACCAUUUUUGCAUAGUAAUCCGUGUUGCUCAACGUGUCAUUAUCUUUCCGGUUGUACUCCGGAAUUUCAUCAUGCUGUAGGCAUGGUUUACGCAGUCUCUAAGGAGAAUUCUUUGAAUACACGCGUCGACGAUUUUAUACGAGUGCUAAACGAAAAAGUACACAUGCACACGCGGCCCGUGAGUCCGGUUAAUAAAGUUAUUCUCGCGGUCACGUCGAUCAAACAUUCCCAGUCACGGAGUCGCUAUAAACGUAUGCCUCUCUCUUCCUCGCGCGCUCGAGGAAUCGCGCUUCGAUCAUAAACGCGGAUUUAAAUGUACAAUGUGUAACAGGGUGUUAGACAUCGCGGACGCGAAUAGCCUUUCGAUCGUGGCGGACGUUGGGUUUGCCAAGAUCGUCCUCCGCACGCGAUCCGCGUGUUCAACGGUAUGCCUCCAGUAUAAAUACUCGGCGGCGAACGAUGACGCUGGAGAUGGCAUGUUUCUUCCCCGUGUGUGCAAGACCGACCGAUUAGGUUUGCAUUAAGAAACUUCUUUUCUCUCCUGGACGAGCGAUAUCCGCUGCCAUCCGCCGCUCGGGGCGACGAGCUUAUUCAAUAACUCACCGCGAGGUUGUACGUACAUAUGCGCGGCGGCCGAUUAUGCAAUCGGCCUCUACCAGUUCAAGUGGACAGAGGGCAUAACUUCUCGCGCGUUUCUUCAUCGAUUUCUUCGCGACUCUUUGCUUUUUCAUGAUACGACAGAGUUUCCGCUUAUACGGAUACAUUACCCUUCGACGUAACACGUAACGUCGACUGACUGAAGGAUCCACGAAUACAUUAAGUAAAAUGUCAGCUCGGGAUAUUGAUAGUUUUUUUUCGAAAUAACUAAACAUACAUAUGUAUACGUGUAAUUGAAAGAAUCCAAUGCUUCUUGCGUUUCAGGAAGUAUAUUUCAGUCCUACUUCGAAAUUUGAGAAAUUUUAUAUUGAAAUUAGCUCUAAAGAUGAAAGAAACAUAUUUUCAACUUUACAUUUAUAUUAAAUUAUGUCACGUAUUUAUUAUAUAGAUUUUAUUUUCUAUAUACGUUCCGUGUAUAUUCUAUCUGCUAAUAUUCACGUGUAUACGUGAAAGAAAUUUUGCCGAGGUUAAAAUUUUUAACAAGAACAUGAAUACAAAAUGUUUUUUACAAACCUUUUUUUGCGGUAUUGCUAAUCAUGCUAAUCAUUCUGUUUCAGCGUUCUUCGUAAUUAUUCUGAUGGUCUAACAAAAUUAUUUUUAGAUUUGUAGUUGUACAGCUAAAUUUUCAAAUACUUCAGCAAAACCAUUCCUUUCCGCGUACGCAAGGAAACAUUAAAGCCGAGAUUUAUCGAACAUAAUUUGGCGUCGUGCACAAAUUACCUAGUAUUAUAUUGCGCAAGUCGUAAGAACUAAAAAUUUUUCUCCUUGUUUUCUGCGCAAUUAUCAAUCGUGCAAGAAUUAACACGAAUGUUCUGUCUCGGCUCGCAGCUCCUUGCUUCUUUUUCUCCUCGACCGCGUCUCGUAAAAUUGCACCGCGCAAUGAUAACAAAUUAGUAUAUUUCUGUAACAUUAUUUUUUAAAUGCAAAUUCAAUGAAAUUGAUGAGCAAACAAAAUUAUUUCCAGCUCUGCAUUCGAAUAUGUAGCUAAAUUUUUUAACUCUUAACAAAACCGCUUUAUUCCGCUUUUUAUAACCGCUUUUUACUAGUUUUGCAUUAUCGCGUUCUUAUCGCAAAAUGCGUUUGAUCAUCGGAUCAGCCGCGAGGGAUUUUCAUCGAUUUCGCCAAAUCCCGUUUGCGCAACACUUUCUCAUUCCGAUAUUUAUGCAUAACAGAUUAUAAUACUCGCGCACCCGUUGCAAAAUCGGAUCGGUGACGUAAGAGGAUUAUCGUCGCCCGCGGCGAUAAGACCUGCGACGCCUCGCGUUACAUCGAGAACACCCGCGAUCAUCUGUUGCACGGGUAUAAAGAGGGCUGUUAUUUUGUACUUGUUAAACAUGAUCGAACAAUCGAACAGCCGAUCGGACACCGCGCCCACCGGGUCGACGACCGCCCGGUGAAAUCCGUUGACGUUGACGAAGUGUAAUUCAUACUUCCUCAUUGCCCGUCAUGUCAUUAAUGAGCGCUAGUCGCACAGUGAGUUGAAAGUUAAUUGACCGGUGUUAUCGACGAAAAAAAAUCAUAGCUCACGUCCGCGUCUGAUCGGGAUAUCCUUUAUGCGCUUCCUCCCCCGUUGUCGCGCGCGAUCGAAGAGAGGAGGAGGAGGAGGAAGAGUAGCAAGAUCUCGGGGUGACUCGAAACUGGCUUACGGGCGCUUACAUAUUGCGAAUUCGAAGCCUCUCAAGAAGCCGCUCCUGUUACAUCCUAUUUGCGGAGUUAUGCGGGAGUCAUCCAUCCGCCUGUUCGAGCAUAGACUAGGGAUUUUCCAAAGACAAGUCGCAUAACUCGCUAUUGCGCAACGAUGACUACGGAGUAGCUAAAAAAUACGACGUGAUGCGAUUGAAUUAGUUUGACAUAACAUAUAAGAGAGAGAGAGAUGAGAUUUUUUUUUUCAUCGCAAAUCAAUUAUUAUCAAUCUCGAAACGCGAUUCUAAGUUGGGACACUAAUGUAACGAACACUGCAAAGAGUUCACAUUUUGCAUGGUUAAUUUCUUUCACUUGUGUUUUACAUAUCGGUCUACUUUCAGUUAUUUUUAACUUUACUAGUUAUUUUUUAAACACAUCUAACUUCAACUUGUUAACAUUUUUUCCAAGUGAAACGUUUAUCUAAUGUAAAAGAAAAAACAUGUGCACGUAAAAAUAAACUAUUUUACAUGGACUUAUUUACAAUUUACAAACACAAUAUGAAACUUGACGACCCGUAUAUUGUCAACGAUUUUAAUUUAAUAUAAAUAAUUCUUUUUAAAAUCAACUUUUUCAAUUCAACUUAUUAAAAUUCAAUUUUACGAGUCGUUAUCUUAGUUACAAAAACACGAGGAUCGCCGCGAGAUAACCGGGUGAUCAUCUUGCCCUCUCGUCGUUCUCCUCUCUCAAGGAUCCCUCUCGAACUUCCUCGGCUAACAGUUUGCGAUCUCGCAUUAUACGACAACGCGAUCGCGCGUUCGCACGUACGCGCUUCGUAAACACGUACGGCGCAUAAAUUACUCGCCCCUGCGCUUUGCAUACGUUACAUUAUAUACGGCGUAAGUAAGUAAGUAAGCAAGUAAGCGAGCAAGCGAGCGUGUGUAUACACACAUUCUUCCCGUGUACGGCCGCGUCGUGCAUAUAAACGCGAUUCCAUCGAUCGUACGAUACCGGCACAUGGCUCGCUUUCACAGCGAUCGCAACGAUCGACGCGCCCGGCUAUCCGUCCGUCCGGUGUUGCGUGGUCGACCCACCGCGUCGUCGUCGUCAAUCGUAUCUUGGCCGCGGAAUAUACGAAUCAAGCGCACCUUUCCUCCUUAUUUUCUUUUUCAUUUUUUUCCGCGGCCCGCACGAUCUUACGAACCGUCGUAAAUCACCGGCGGUUAACGGGACCACCACUCGUCGACUCGUUUGACUUUGCUUUGCAACUAAUGCCCGCCCACACGGCCGCCGGCUAUUGUUCGACUUUCCUCGCGAGGAGGAGCGUCUCGUCCUCUCCGGCACUUCUCCGAGAGCGUUUUAAUUUUCGCACGAAUUAAUGCAUAUCUAACUAUAUGAAAGGAGAUCCCGGAGUGGAUGUGUGAAUGCGAGGCGUGGCAAGAUCAGGCGUGACGCGAGCGAAUGGAAAAAUUCGAUUGUUAUCCCCGGCAGCGAGUUGCGCGUCCCUCUCCCCCUUUUUUUUUUCUUAUCUCGUAGAGAAAUCUUCCGUGAUAUUGCCCGUAGCAUAACGCAAAUAUAGGUCAAGGGUCGUAAUGUAACAAUCGUCGCGUUACAUACGUAUAUCGACCAGAAUGUGCGAGUAUAUACACGUGUAUUCCUAUUAGAAGUAUGUAAUAUUAUUUUGCGUCUUCCGCCGUAUGCUAAAUUAAUUUUUAUCGAACAGCACAGUUAUAUUUUUACGACAGUCGCACGGAGUUAUCGUUUAAGGGAGUUCCGCUGCUAAAUCAAAAUGAUUUUCACGAAAAGCUGAACUAGCUAGUUAUUUAGAUAUUAAAUAUUUUAUUAACAUGGGUUCUUAUGGGAAUCGAUGAAUUUUCAGGAUUUUUCAGUUUUUAUUGUCGUAUUAAACAUAGAAGUAAUGAACAGAUAUUAGUGAAACUUUACAAUAAUACAUCUUAGCUGUUCAGAAAAGUACUGUUAAAUUUUUGAAACGAUGCACUUACUCGUUUGAAUGAAAUAAUUGAUAAGAUAAAAAAAAUUCACAAUAAUCGAGGUAAUACAGCACGUAAAUGUAGUAAAUGUAUGAUAUAACAUGAAUUUAAAAUUGUUGUAUUUAGUUAUCUAAGGGUGGUAUAAUAGUGAAAAAUGUUUAUUCUCAAUUUUUAAAAAAUUACUUCAGUAAUGAAGGUAGUACUUUAUAGCCGAUUUUUUUCUUAUAUUCACCAUUAUUAACUUUAGAUUAUAUAUAGCAAAAAAAGAAGGCAACAAAAUGGUCAUUUGAAUAUUUUUCUUUACUUGAAUGUGCCACUUGUUGUGCCGGGCCUGAGCAGAGGAACUUCCUUAAGUCGUUGCGAGAGAACUUGUUAGAUUAUACCAAGAAUAGCUUUUUUUUCUCUUGCGUAAUUACGUGGGACAAUUUUUACACAUUAAUUAAAAAUUACCAUUAUUAAUUUCCUCUGCAUGUUAUCGAUCGUUUUCUAAUCUUAUUUUCCUCACUGCUGAAGUGUAAAAAUUAUUAUCGGAAUACUUUUAGAUUAUAAAGCAAUUUCGGAAAAAUAUAAGAGAGUUUUCUGACGCUUCUAAAAUUUUUCUUUCGAUAUUACGACCAAUCAUAAUUUUCUCAUAUUUUUUAUCGUCAAAAGAGACUCGUUCGAUUUACGUGACACAGCUCACAUAAAACACAUAAAUGUAACAUAAAUUAUUUUCUAUCGUUUAGAAAUAUAAUCUGAGAUUUGAGUCAAGGAGAGAAUUGUUUCCUUUUUCAUCGAUAAACAGCUUACGUUUUAUCGAUUACAACACAA